rnacentral:rRNA from 1 species
AGCAGUAGCCGCGGUAAUACAGAGGGUGCGAGCGUUAAUCGGAUUUACUGGGCGUAAAGCGUGCGUAGGCGGCUAAUUGAGUCGGAUGUGAAAUCCCCGAGCUUAACUUGGGAAUUGCAUUCGAUACUGGUUAGCUAGAGUGUGGGAGAGGAUGGUAGAAUUCCAGGUGUAGCGGUGAAAUGCGUAGAGAUCUGGAGGAAUACCGAUGGCGAAGGCAGCCAUCUGGCCUAAUACUGACGCUGAGGUACGAAAGCAUGGGGAGCAAACAGGAUUAGAUACCCCAGUAGUCCCUGUCUCUUAUAC